GUGUCUUUUACAAAUCAUCUUUCUCCCGAGAAAGACAGAGUUGGCUCAAGUAAAAACAAGCACUGGGAUGGCGAUGUUGGAUGGUUUGAGGUUGAGAAACAUUUUGAGAUUCUUACGAAUUCGAAGGAGGAUGGUUUGCUUCAUCGCCGGUAUAUUAUUAGCUUGGUAUAACUUUUACCAGAACCAUCGCCGAUUUCGGUGUUCAAUUUCCAAUUGAUAUGAAGGUAUUCAGUGUUCAAUUUUUUCCGCAGGUUCUGUAGAAGGACAUAUAAGAAUUGGAGGUAAUUAUAGGCUCUUAAGAUUUAAAAGCUAACCAUGCUAUAAAGCAAUAUGUUGAUAUUGUCCAUGAAAAUAAAAAAUAUGAUAAAAGCUAUAAAACACUCGACUUCAGGAAGGUGAACAGAUCUUACCAUCAAAAUUGAGGUUUAAAACACUUAAAAUGUAACAUGUUUGUGCUGACUGCAAAGGAAGUGAGGAAUAAUGUCAUGUGGAACACCAUAAUUUUGGGGUAUUCGAGAAAUGGUGGUAUGUAUAAAGCAUGUGAUGAAUACAGGAAGAAAGGAAAAAGGAAAGGCUAAAGCAAGUAUGUAUUUUUCUACUCACUUUUUGAGCAGUUAAUCUGGUAUAUUUGAAUCUGUGUCAAAAUUUUAUAAUUAGUGGUGUUUGCAUUGCUUCACUUCUUCACCUAAAUUUUAUGCCAAUGUUCAUUUGCACUGCUUUUUAGCUGUGAGUCUUAUUAUUGUUGAAUUUGUUUUUCUGCAACUGAAAGAGUUGGUCCAUCCAAUUAUGGAGCAGAUACAAAAUCGGAGUCAUUGGAGAUCGAAUUCAAUAUAAACAUUGUGAUUUUGGUGAUUUGAGACAUAUCUGUCGGUUGCGAUUCUGGCCUUUAACUAAAGUGCUCACCGAGAAGUAUGAUUUUAAUGAGAAAGAUGCAAGUGACAUGAGUGACUUUUUAGUUUCUAUCCCUGACUUUUUGGUGUUGGUGGAUCAUUAGAACAUAUGGUUGUUGGACUGGCCAGUUCACUUGGAAAAGGAGCAUAUCCAAAUGGCUCCACAGGGGCAAAUUGGAUAUCUAAAUAGUGGUCUUCCACAAGACAGAGUAGCACCUUGGUUUGAUAGGCUUGUGUUUGACAAGAUCGGGAGUUCAGAUUUUGAAUGACCGGUUGAUUCUCUGCAAUCCACCUUGAUUAUGGUUAAUGUGUUUGUUUUAAUUGAAUUAGUUUUGGCUGAGACAGGGCAAUAAAAAGGUAUGACUAUUUCCAUUCCAAUGGAGAAAAAGAUCCAUGUCAUAUUUCAAGCAAUCAUAAAAUAUGGUGGUUCUCAAUUGUUGCAGCAAUCAUGUCUUUCACAUAUACAUUGGUUGGCCUUGGUCUUGUAAUUGCCAAAGUUGCAGGUUAUAUAUGUUUUAUUUCAUGACACUAUAUCUUAGCAGGAAAAAAAACAAUAUCCUUAAACUGUUUUUUGUUUUGAAACAUAAAAUGUGUCGAAAGUGGAAAUUAUACUGCUUUUCUCUUUAACUAAUUGCCUGUCGUUUUCUGUUAGAUUCGCUACGUAAAACUAUUUUCUCAUGUGAUGAUUAGUUUAAUAAAGUUGUUUUGUAUGGUGAGAAGUGUAUGGUUUUUAUUGCUGCUGAUGCCGAGCCUGUUUAUUUACGAUAUUUGUUGAUGCUAUUGCCUAGACCUGUUGUAGCACAGCCUAACACAAUGACAGAAAUGCCAAGUAGUGUUGCAGGAAAGGCGUUGUGCCGCUAGAGGAACUGAACUUAAUCAUGCAGGUGAUGCAUCUAUCGGAGGACAGGCACCAGCUUCUAAUGGUGAAAAAAUGACAAUCUCCAACUCCAUAGAAGAUUUGAAGUAAUUGAAGCAAUACAUUUGUAUAGAAGUGUU